AAAUUGAAGAGUUUGAUCAUGGCUCAGAUUGAACGCUGGCGGCAGGCCUAACACAUGCAAGUCGAACGGUAACAGGAAGCAGCUUGCUGCUUUGCUGACGAGUGGCGGACGGGUGAGUAAUGUCUGGGAAACUGCCUGAUGGAGGGGGAUAACUACUGGAAACGGUAGCUAAUACCGCAUAACGUCGCAAGACCAAAGAGGGGGACCUUCGGGCCUCUUGCCAUCGGAUGUGCCCAGAUGGGAUUAGCUGGUAGGUGGGGUAACGGCUCACCUAGGCGACGAUCCCUAGCUGGUCUGAGAGGAUGACCAGCCACACUGGAACUGAGACACGGUCCAGACUCCUACGGGAGGCAGCAGUGGGGAAUAUUGCACAAUGGGCGCAAGCCUGAUGCAGCCAUGCCGCGUGUAUGAAGAAGGCCUUCGGGUUGUAAAGUACUUUCAGCGGGGAGGAAGGGAGUAAAGUUAAUACCUUUGCUCAUUGACGUUACCCGCAGAAGAAGCACCGGCUAACUCCGUGCCAGCAGCCGCGGUAAUACGGAGGGUGCAAGCGUUAAUCGGAAUUACUGGGCGUAAAGCGCACGCAGGCGGUUUGUUAAGUCAGAUGUGAAAUCCCCGGGCUCAACCUGGGAACUGCAUCUGAUACUGGCAAGCUUGAGUCUCGUAGAGGGGGGUAGAAUUCCAGGUGUAGCGGUGAAAUGCGUAGAGAUCUGGAGGAAUACCGGUGGCGAAGGCGGCCCCCUGGACGAAGACUGACGCUCAGGUGCGAAAGCGUGGGGAGCAAACAGGAUUAGAUACCCUGGUAGUCCACGCCGUAAACGAUGUCGACUUGGAGGUUGUGCCCUUGAGGCGUGGCUUCCGGAGCUAACGCGUUAAGUCGACCGCCUGGGGAGUACGGCCGCAAGGUUAAAACUCAAAUGAAUUGACGGGGGCCCGCACAAGCGGUGGAGCAUGUGGUUUAAUUCGAUGCAACGCGAAGAACCUUACCUGGUCUUGACAUCCACGGAAGUUUUCAGAGAUGAGAAUGUGCCUUCGGGAACCGUGAGACAGGUGCUGCAUGGCUGUCGUCAGCUCGUGUUGUGAAAUGUUGGGUUAAGUCCCGCAACGAGCGCAACCCUUAUCCUUUGUUGCCAGCGGUCCGGCCGGGAACUCAAAGGAGACUGCCAGUGAUAAACUGGAGGAAGGUGGGGAUGACGUCAAGUCAUCAUGGCCCUUACGACCAGGGCUACACACGUGCUACAAUGGCGCAUACAAAGAGAAGCGACCUCGCGAGAGCAAGCGGACCUCAUAAAGUGCGUCGUAGUCCGGAUUGGAGUCUGCAACUCGACUCCAUGAAGUCGGAAUCGCUAGUAAUCGUGGAUCAGAAUGCCACGGUGAAUACGUUCCCGGGCCUUGUACACACCGCCCGUCACACCAUGGGAGUGGGUUGCAAAAGAAGUAGGUAGCUUAACCUUCGGGAGGGCGCUUACCACUUUGUGAUUCAUGACUGGGGUGAAGUCGUAACAAGGUAACCGUAGGGGAACCUGCGGUUGGAUCACCUCCUUACCUUAAAGAAGC
rnacentral:rRNA from 1 species